rnacentral:rRNA from 1 species
CAGCCGCCACGGGAAUACGAAGGGUGCAAGCGUUAAUCGGAAUUACUGGGCGUAAAGCGUGCGUAGGCGGUGAGUUAAGUCUGCUGUGAAAUCCCCGGGCUCAACCUGGGAAUGGCAGUGGAUACUGGCUCGCUAGAGUGUGUCAGAGGAUGGUGGAAUUCCCGGUGUAGCGGUGAAAUGCGUAGAGAUCUGGAGGAAUACCGGUGGCGAAGGCGGCCCCCUGGACAAAGACUGACGCUCAGGUGCGAAAGCGUGGGGAGCAAACAGGAUUAGAUACCCCAGUAGUCCCUGUCUCUUAUAC